UACGUAGGGUGCGAGCGUUAAUCGGAAUUACUGGGCGUAAAGCGUGCGCAGGCGGCUCGGAAAGAAAGAUGUGAAAUCCCAGGGCUUAACCUUGGAAUGGCAUUUUUAACUCCCGAGCUAGAGUAUGUCAGAGGGGGGUAGAAUUCCACGUGUAGCAGUGAAAUGCGUAGAGAUGUGGAGGAAUACCGAUGGCGAAGGCAGCCCCCUGGGAUAAUACUGACGCUCAGGCACGAAAGCGUGGGGAGCAAACAGG
rnacentral:rRNA from 1 species